rnacentral:rRNA from 1 species
GAUGGACGCUGGCGGCGUGCUUAACACAUGCAAGUCGAACGGGGAACAUUUUAAAGAAGCUUCGGCAGAUUUAGUUUGUUCCUAGUGGCGGACGGGUGAGUAACGCGUGGGUAACCUGCCUCACACUGGGGGAUAACAGUCAGAAAUGACUGCUAAUACCGCAUAAGCGCACAGAGCUGCAUGGCUCAGUGUGAAAAACUCCGGUGGUGUGAGAUGGACCCGCGUUGGAUUAGCCAGUUGGCAGGGUAACGGCCUACCAAAGCGACGAUCCAUAGCCGGCCUGAGAGGGUGGACGGCCACAUUGGGACUGAGACACGGCCCAGACUCCUACGGGAGGCAGCAGUGGGGAAUAUUGCACAAUGGGGGAAACCCUGAUGCAGCGACGCCGCGUGAAGGAAGAAGUAUCUCGGUAUGUAAACUUCUAUCAGCAGGGAAGAAAAUGACGGUACCKACUAAGAGUCCCGWWAUYYC